CACCAAUCAAGUCUUACUUGGUAUUGGGCUCUUUUGUCCCUAACUUUUAGGGACAGGCCUUAAAGACAUUGGCGGCAUAGUCCGGCUUCGAGCGUAGCAAAAACAUCGCUUUUGGAGUUUUCUGGAUUAUUGUUCCUUGUCCAUUAAAAUAGGGUAGAAAUAUCCGUUUUUUCUUAA
rnacentral:misc_RNA from 1 species